rnacentral:piRNA from 1 species
UAACUUUUCUUUUUUAUGGCA